rnacentral:rRNA from 1 species
UACGUAGGGGGCGAGCGUUGUCCGGAGUACUGGGCGUAAAGCGCACGCAGGCGGUCUGCUAAGUUUGGAGUGACAGUUGGUGGCUUAACUGCCAAAGUGCUUCGAAAACUGACAGACUUGAGGGCUUCAGAGGGACACGGAAUUCCGGGUGGAGUGGUGAAAUGCGUAGAUAUCGGGAGGAACACCUGUGGCGAAAGCGGCUCACUGGACCACAACUGACGCUGAGGCGCGAAAGCUAGGGGAGCAAACAGG